rnacentral:rRNA from 1 species
UACAGAGGGUGCAAGCGUUAAUCGGAAUUACUGGGCGUAAAGCGCGCGUAGGUGGUUUGUUAAGUUGGAUGUGAAAUCCCCGGGCUCAACCUGGGAACUGCAUCCAAAACUGGCAAGCUAGAGUAUGGUAGAGGGUGGUGGAAUUUCCUGUAGUAGCGGUGAAAUGCGUAGAUAUAGGAAGGAACACCAGUGGCGAAGGCGACCACCUGGACUGAUACUGACACUGAGGUGCGAAAGCGUGGGGAGCAAACAGG